AACGAACGCUGGCGGCAUGCCUAACACAUGCAAGUCGAACGAGACCUUCGUGUCUAGUUGCGCACGGGUGCGUAACGCGUGGGAAUCUACCCUCAUGUUCGGAAUAACUCAGAGAAAUUUGAGCUAAUACCGGAUGAUUACGUAAGACCAAAGAUUUAUCGCCCGAGGAUGAGCCCGCGUAGGUUUAGGUAGUUGGUGAGGUAAAGGCUCAUCAAGCCUACGAUCCUUAGCUGGUCUGAGAGGAUGAUCAGCCACACUGGGACUAGGACACGGCCGAGACUCCUACGGGAGGCAGCAGUGGGUAAUAUUGGACAAUGGGCGAAGGGAUGAUCCAGCACUGGUGGGUGAGUGAUGAAGGUCUUAGGGUUGUAAAGCUCUUUUACCCGGGAUGAUAAUGACAGUACCGGGAGAAUAAGCACCGGCUAACUUCGUG
rnacentral:rRNA from 1 species